CUUGGCAUGUUAUAGAAAUGUAAUGGUCUAUCUGAAAUAUUUUGAUUACAUAUUUUUCUGAAGUCUUUCUUUUUUCUUUAAAUGCAGUGUUCAUUUCUCAUUGCCUCCUACGCUUGAGGACUCUUUGCUCUGUGCAUGGCAAGUACAAGAAAUAUGUGGACAAGAAUAUGAAUUUAUGAUUAAUGCAAGUGCUUGAAAAACAUGAUGCCUCAGUUGCAGAAAUGAGACUGGCCUCUGUGACCCUGGGCCUCUGAUUCAGUAUGGGAGAUUUGCCCAACUGUUAUGCAGAAUGGAAAGAGAAGGAAUUUCUUCAUAUAAAACCAACUUUGGAUUUAAUCCAGAUAAUGGAAAAGAUGACUGAACCAGUGAGUACAGAAUGAUAAAUAAUGUAAGAUGCAAUUUCCCUUGCCCUUUAGUGUGGUGGGACCAUUACAUAGUGAAGAACAAAAUAAUGUUAUCUUAGAAAUGUUUUUAAGAGCUUUUAUUAGUUGGCCCAUCUGAAAUUCAAGUGUGUGUUAAAGGAAUGGUCAUAUUCAGUCCUCCUCAAAUUCAGGACCAAAGUAGCAUCUAAAAUCAUCUUCUUGGCCUCUCUGAACACAUAGCCUCUCUCUGAACACUUUGUAAGUUGCCUAGGAUCUCACUGAACAUGCAGGUAGAGAAGGCAGCAUAAAUGUACAAUUGCCAUGAGUAGAUAUAGCUCUCAGCCUUACAUUUAUCCUUUUUCUCUUGAUUCAAAUUGCUCAAGCAUGCCAUAGCAUAUAGACCCUGGGACAAAAAGACACUGGAGUCUUCAUAGCAGAUCAGGGGACUGGGAAAGGAAUAGGAAACAAGUGACCAAAGUUGGGAAGCUAAUUAAAUUUUGGCUCCAGAUGAGAGAAGAGAGCAGCUGUCUAAAUCCCUGUGUCCAUAGAAAUAUGGUAAACUUGAGUUGAUCCUCUCAUAGGUACCUCAAGCAUGUGUUGUAAUUGUUGAGUUAUAAUAGA
rnacentral:lncRNA from 1 species